UUCUUUCAAACAUCGAGAGCAGAACGGAUGUGCGGAUUUCUUAGCCAAACAAGCCAUCAAAGAGAAUACUCAAUGGUCUCUGUUUCAUUCUUGUCCUUAUUUUCUGAGUCCAUAUGUAAACAACGAUUACUCUUAAGUUCUAAAUAAAGUUAUAAGUUGGAAAAAAAAA
rnacentral:sRNA from 1 species